GGACGAACGCUGGCGGCGCGCCUAACACAUGCAAGUCGAACGAAGCUAAGUCAGCUGAAGUUUCGGAUGGACGCAGACUUAGCUUAGUGGCGAACGGGUGAGUAACACGUGAGUAACCUGCCCUUCAGUGGGGGACAACAGUUGGAAACGACUGCUAAUACCGCAUAAGACCACAGUACCGCAUGGUACCGUGAUCAAGGGAUUAAUUUUCGCUGAAGGAUGGACUCGCGCCUGAUUAGCUAGAUGGUGAGGUAACGGCCCACCAUGGCAACGAUCAGUAGCCGGACUGAGAGGUUGAUCGGCCACAUUGGGACUGAGACACGGCCCAGACUCCUACGGGAGGCAGCAGUGGGGGAUAUUGCACAAUGGAGGAAACUCUGAUGCAGCGACGCCGCGUGAGGGAAGAAGGUUUUCGGAUUGUAAACCUCUGUCUUCGGGGACGAAACAAAUGACGGUACUCGAGGAGGAAGCCACGGCUAACUACGUGCCAGCAGCUGC
rnacentral:rRNA from 1 species